rnacentral:misc_RNA from 1 species
GGACGGGUCGAAGCACUACUUAUUGCCAGUCGCAUCUUCAUUCACCAGCGCACGUGCCUCGCGACUGCAGAGAACCAGACGCGUGUUCACAUGCAAAGGCCAACACGCUUGUCGUGAUAUAAUCAGCGGCGGCCGAGUGUCAGCUCCAUGCGCACACAAGCCUUUUGUUAUUCGGUCUUUUAUUUUUUCGAAGGAGGUCUUCUGUCGAAGUUGCGCGGCGCACCGGCGCGAGCCGCGUCUUGGCGGUUUCCUUUGUUGGAACGAUUCUUUCCGUGAUUUCGAGAUGACACACACACACACUCGCACUUGUUGGUUGUCUGUUUGCCCUUCUGCGAAGUCUGAACGGCAGCGUGGAACGCGAUGUGGUCCGCGAACGUGAAUCUAGAUGGGGUGCUACCGAGCAGCCUCUGCAUCACGCACGACGCUUUGUGGUGGUUGUCUGCGAGUGGCGUUCUGUACACUUGGCGGACAAGUCAAGGCGAUGGUGAGCCAACACACCCGGUUGCCGUGGCGCAGUUGGACCGCCGCGUGGAGUGCAUGGUCGUUUCUUCGGAUGCGUCGCUGAUUGCAGUGGUGUCGUCGACCUUCAUGGCGCUCCUUGAGAUCGAGCACACAUCGAGCCCGACAUUUUUGCGGAUGAGCGACGCCGAUGCAUUUGGCGAGGCGAGUGUCGAUGAGGUCGUCAUCACGGCGGAGGAGAGGAGGCGCGCCGCUUGCACGAUUGGCGAUGUGCGUGGCGUGUUGUUCAACAGUGACGCGUCUCUAGCGGCGGUGUGCACGGAUUCGGCUCUUCUGCUGUGGAGUAACGUAUUCGGUGACGCCUCAAAUGACGAUGAGGACGGCACUGGAUCACACCUGGCAAGCUUCGACUGCACCCAUCUCGGCGCGUCAACGAAAGGGUGUUCCGUCAUCUGCUUCUCUGGAGCACGACAGCUGCUCGUCGUAGACGAUGUCAACCAUCUCGUACUCCUUCAGUGCGUCAGUGAAGAUUUGAGCGAUGUAAGCGAGGACGCCCACAUGCCCGUCGCGUGCCAGCCAAAUGCGUCACCGAUGGCGGUGAACCUGCAGCUGAUGGUGGACGGACACAUAUGCGGCCGCACCGCUCGUGUCACUUCCGUCGCCUGUAGCCACAGCGGCGUCUACGGGGAAAGCUUAGUGGUGCUAGGGUUCUCCAAUGGCACCGUGCAACUCCUGAACGGACGCCAACUGCAAGCACUGCGCACCUGGAAUGUGCGGGACGCCAUAACCGCCGCCUUCAUUGACUCCUCGGACGAAGCGGCAGCCGCCAGCUCGCGUCGUCGCAGUGGGCUAUCACAGGUUGCAACGCGGGAUCGCCGCGGAAUUCCAUAUGCCGCGGCGUCUACUGCGGCGCCGCAGGAGGUGACCAUCUUUGAUGUCUGUGUCGGAGCUCAUCUUAUCACGGUGUGCACAUCGCACGGCGUCGUCUAUUACAGCAGAUUCACGUUUCAGCUGGAGAGCGCCUACACGCAGCUCUUGACAACGCCGCUUGUGCAGGCAGGAGCUGCUGCUGCUGCCGCAGGGACGUCUGUGCUCGGCGGCGUCGCAAUGCGGGGUGGGUCGAAUGGCCGUUGGGCGUACACCAACGUGUUUGACGGUGUCCUCUACUUCUCUUGGCGUGACGUCGACACGCAUCACACACUGGAGGCGCGCUCGGCGGAGCGGAAUGCGGCCAGCAACGACAUUGUGCACGCACGUGCCCCACUGCCAGCCGCAUGGUUAGACAACGUGGCAACUGCAAGGCUUGCUCAGCGACCCUUCCUGUCGUCGGAUGCGCGGCGGCGGCAGCCUGCGAAAGGGAGCGGUUACACUGACGCCCCGUGGUCUGUGCAGCAGGAGCGCAAGCGAAAGGCACGGGCAGCCGCCGCCCGCGACCGCAAGGCUCAGGCAUUCGGGGCAAUUUCAGCCUCGGCAGCAGCGUCUACAAACGAGCUUCGCUUCCAGUACGACUUCGACUCCAUCUUCGGGGUCGGACGUGCAACACUGACACGCAUGGAGGCCUCCAGCUCCGCCUUGCGUGGCCUUCACACGCGUGCUGUCGUGGCGACCGCGUUUGCCACCGCCGGCGACGCCCUCAUCACCGCCGGUGCUGACGGUCGAAUAAGGCAACUGCACUUCCCCAUCGCGCGCGCAAAGGGGGCGGACGGAGUCGCUGGACGCAUCUUGGCUGGUCACGCCGCGGCUGUCACCGCAAUCGAUGCAAACCUGUCACGCCAGCAUCCUCUCAUCCUCUCUGCCGGUGCAGAAGGCUGCCUCCGGCUCUGGUCACCUGGAGCACGGGACACACCAAUAGCGGAGUGCACCGUGGGCUGCAGUGGCGGCAAGGUGGCGCGUCCAGCGCCGGGGAAAACUAUCGUGUCAGCGCAGUUCUUCUACCUUGACAAGCUGUUACUGUCGUGCGCGGCGGAUGCACUCGAGCUCCGCCGUAAUGCUGGUGGCGUCUGCUCUUCGCGGGCGACAGCAGCGCCGUCGAGCACCUCCGAAUCUGAUAGAGUUCUCUCAGAAGCCCCUCUGUACAGGUUCUCGGUCGGCAGUGGCCACACCAUAACCUCAGCAACAGCAGUGAACCACUUCGUCAGCAACCUUAUCUUCCUGGCCACCUCGGAAAAGGAGGUGCAGGUGCUGGAUGUGGCGGCGAACACGGUUCUCUGGCGCGAGGGGACAACGCACACGCGCGGUAUCUACCGCGUUGCCACAGGCCGCACGAGUCGCUACGCCGCAGCGGGUGUAGACAGCGGUGCCGCGCAUCUCUUCAUGUCGGCGUCGCUCGACAGCACUGCGGCGCUUUGGGACGUGCGCAUAGCGAAGCCGGUGCAGCUCUUCACGCAGCACUCCAACACAGGCGUUCCAUCGCUGGCGCUGGAGGUUGCUCCCGGAAUCGGCGUGGUCGCAGUAGGGAGCCAGGAUAAUGCGGUUUACAUGUACGACCUUCGUGGCGGGUGCGGUGGCGUCGCUCUCGACGUGUUGCGUGGGUUCGACUCGUACGUCACUUCUCUUGCCUGGCACCCGCUCCGCCCAUUCUUGGUGGCAGGGCUGGCCAGUGGAGACGUGCACGUUCUCCAACACGCCACGUAGACGCAUGAUGAGACGAUGAAGACACCCGCAGUCUCUGCGGAUGUGGUAUGUGCCUACCGUUGCGCUUCACAGCGUGUGGUGGACGGAGAGCCCAUGGCGGAUGUUGUUUCUCCCUUUUGUUUUUGCGCUGUUCUCCGUUGCGGCUCUGAUCGGUGGUACCGUGAGGGACGCCAUCCCUCGUUCACAUCGGCAGACGCAGCCUGAAGCAGCGAUGGAGGAAAGUGCACAUCGCAUACCUGAAAAAAAAAAAGAAAAAAAAACAUUAUCCGAGUAACAAGACGACGCAUCCAAAGAAAAUGCGACAACGAACGGAAAGCAGCGGUGCUGCUGCCUCGAAUACGACUGUGGAGACGCAAUGAACGGCG